UUGAUCUUCAGCUUUGAUCGAUCUCAGCUAGGACGCAAUCGAUCUUCAGCUUCAAUCCGAAUCGAUCUUUGUGCCGCCUCGUAUCAGAAUCGAUCUUCACCUCAUUUCUGAAUCGAUCUGAGUUCUUUGGCUUCAAUCCGAAGGUAAAUAGCGAUUUGAUUGAUGCUCAUACUGGUAAUGUUAGCGAUCUUGCUUUCUCUCACCCAAACAAACAACUAUGCGUUAUAACUUGUGGGGAGGACAAGACUAUUAAGGUCUGGGAUGUUGCCACUGGUUCUAAGCAGUACACUUUCGAGGGUCAUUAGUUACCUGUUUAUUCUGUGUGCCCACAUACUGAGGAAAACAUUCAG